rnacentral:rRNA from 1 species
CGACGGGUGCGUAACGCGUAUGCAAUUCUACCUUUGCAGAGGGAUAGCCCAGAGAAAUUUGGAUUAAUACCUCAUAGUAUAGUACUUUGGCAUCAAAGGAACUAUUAAAGUCACAACGGCAAAAGAUGAGCAUGCGUCCCAUUAGCUAGUUGGUAAGGUAACGGCUUACCAAGGCUACGAUGGGUAGGGGUCCUGAGAGGGAGAUCCCCCACACUGGUACUGAGACACGGACCAGACUCCUACGGGAGGCAGCAGUGAGGAAUAUUGGACAAUGGGCGCAAGCCUGAUCCAGCCAUGCCGCGUGCAGGAUGACGGUCCUAUGGAUUGUAAACUGCUUUUAUACAGGAAGAAACACUCCGACGUGUCGGAGCUUGACGGUACUGUAAGAAUAAGGAUCGGCUAACUCCGUG